AUACUACUGGAUUGCACAGUCUGGGUUUCAAGAGUUUCAAUACGCACAUGCUGAAAUCUGAAUAUCAUAUUGGACAACUUUACUCGUGUUUAUUGCUGGUGUUGUUCACGGACUCGUCCCUGAACAGCAAGAGAUGGAAAGAAGCGGAGUUCUACUUCAACACCGUGAACCACUGUCUCGAGAACUUCAAAAAGUUAGAUUUAAAAAAAGACAUUCUCCCUUGAGUGAAAAUGGGCCGUAAAAUCGGAGAGAUUUCUGCUGAGGUGAUCGCAUUAGUGCAGAAGGAGCAAGAGAAGAAACAAGACGUGAAAAUUUCGUGUUACAUAGACCAGAUAAUUUCAGCAACUAACACUGACGCCACUCGAAAGCCAUCUGGUGUCAAAGGAUCCAAUGUUAUUUAGACAUUAUAAUCCUGCAAGAAGAUCCGUUAGACGAGUGCAUGGGCAACACAUGACCGCCAGUACCCACACCCAGACUGUGGCAUGACCACCUUGGCCAACCCGAAAUCUACAGCAGACGACGCGGCUGUGAGCGCCAUCUCUGCGUUUGAAAUGGACCCCGGAGCAAUGACGCCAACUCGCUACCUCUUCGGCGCCUUCGGUUGCCAGUCUCUCCGUUCACCAGUUCAGCGCAAAGAGCCGUAUUUGCCAACGCAGCCACCAGCAGCACAUAAUACAGAGAAAUGAACCUGUAAUAAGACUUGUGUAGCCAUGGCACUCUGCUAUUCAGAACACUAUCGUAAUAUAUACAAUUCAGAAUGAUUCACGUUUAUUGCACUAAAGCUAAAAAAUAACUUUCACCUCAGAAUCCUUCAACAGGUAUAAAUGUCAAAGGAUGAACCAAUAUUCGAAGUAUAAUGAUUAAUCAGAAAUACACAUUCGUAUACGCAAUCAUGAAUACACAGACAUGCAUACAGUCAAGCACAAGAGAACACUUGUAUAAGAAAAAAGUUAUUAGUUUUGAAUUGGCAGCCUCAUUAACCGAGUAAGUGAAACAGUAAUGGCUUUCGUACUUCAUGUGUCUCAUAGAAUCUAUGCAAAUUGUAAUUCUACACUUUAUAUGUUAAAAUAAUUGAACCUCAAAUUAAAAUGACUAAGUUUAAUCUAAAACGACUGUUUCACUAAAACAUCUGAAAUUGAAUUUGAAAUACCUAAAGGUUAAUUUUUUAAUAGCUCAAGUUGUUUGAAAUACCUCUGGGUUAAAUAAAAACAUUUGAUAAGUUAAGUUUAAUUUAAAAUAUUUCAUGUACUUUAAAAUACGACGUUUUUAUCAAUACAUGCAAACUAUAUAUGAUGAAUUGAUGCCAAACUGAAACAGCAGAAAUAGAUUUAUAUCAGAUUUAUAAUAAUCAUAAACUGAUUCUUAUUAACUUCAAAAUAUAAUUUUACAAUUUAAAAAUGUAUUGUUAAAAUAAAUGUUUGAUUUAAAUGAUUGCUGUAUAUUUUCUCCAAAAAUAGUACUACCAGUCGUAGGACUAUUCCUUGUAUCUCAGUGUAUUAAUAAAUGAUAAUGAUACCAAA